AUUGAAUCUUGAAAUUUGCAGGAAAAUGGAUGGAACUCGAAGAAACCAUUCUGAGCAAGGUGAUACAAAAGGAUACAUUACCAUUAAGCCCCAAAUGGUUUCUUAAGAGUGUCUUUUGUUUGUGUAAGGAGAAUCUUCGUUCUUGGUUUUAUUCUCACAGCUACCUUAUUACUCCAGCAUAAUCUGAAGGCUGAGAGCUCACAUCUUGAACUUCAGGCAUGAAGCAGAAAGAGUACAAACUGGAAAUGACAUGAGCAUUUUACUCUCAAAGUCAACCCCUGGUGACUUGCUUCCUCCAGCAAGAUCGCACAUCUUAUACCUACCCAAACAUUGCCAACAGAGGAACCUAUGAAUGGUAGUCAUUUAAACCACCACAGUGACUAACACAAACAAUUUCAUAGGCUGCACUGGCAAAAUGACAUAUCUACAAAGCACAUCAAAGUGUUGCAUCUAAACUUCUGGUAAGAUUAACUCAAACCUGAUGAUCCAGGGAAAAGUAAGAGAUGGAAAAAAUGAAAAGCCAAAUAAUGGAUUCUACAGUAAUCACUUAUAUACUAAUUCCUGCAUACCUGGUGAAAACUGAUGUAUCUGUUCUCCUGGAAAACACCCAGACAGGAGAACCUUCAAUCAGGUAUUCAGUACUUGUUUAAUAUUGAUGGAAGCAGAGGCAGACACCCACAGAUAUACACUGAACAGAACUCUGGAAACCAGUUGCAGAGAGGGAGGAAUGAAGAUCAAAGGGGACAGUACCAGGUUGGUGAAACCCACAGAAACA